GCGCGAAAACUUUACACUGCGGGAAACCGCGAUAAGGGGACCCCGAGUGCCAGCACCUAGUGCUGGCUGUCCUACUGUCUAAAUAACAGUGGUUAGCAAGGGCCGGGCAAGACCGGUGCCAGCCGCCGCGGUAACACCGGCGGCCCGAGUGGUAACCGUUUUUAUUGGGUUUAAAGGGUCCGUAGCCGGCUUACUAAGUCUCUUGGGAAAUCUGGCGGCUCAAUCGUCAGGCGGCCAAGAGAUACUGGUAGGCUUGGGACCGGGAGAGGUGGGAGGUACUCCAGGGGUAGGGGUGAAAUCUCGUAAUCCUUGGGGGACCACCGAUGGCGAAGGCAUCCCACCAGAACGGGUCCGACGGUGAGGGACGAAAGCUGGGGGCACGAACCGG
rnacentral:rRNA from 1 species